UACGUAGGGAGCAAGCGUUGUCCGGAAUCAUUGGGCGUAAAGCGCGCGUAGGCGGCCUCGUAAGUCCGUUGUGAAAGUCGAAGGCUCAACCUUUGAAAGCCGAUGGAUACUGUGAGGCUAGAGUCCGGAAGAGGCGAGUGGAAUUCCUGGUGUAGCGGUGGAAUGCGCAGAUAUCAGGAGGAACACCAAUAGCGAAGGCAGCUCGCUGGGACGGUACUGACGCUAAGGCGCGAAAGCGUGGGGAGCGAACGAGGA
rnacentral:rRNA from 1 species